CAGUAGCCGCGGUAAUACGAAGGGGGCUAGCGUUGUUCGGAUUUACUGGGCGUAAAGCGCACGUAGGCGGACUUUUAAGUCAGGGGUGAAAUCCCGGGGCUCAACCCCGGAACUGCCUUUGAUACUAGAAGUCUUGAGUAUGGUAGAGGUGAGUGGAAUUCCGAGUGUAGAGGUGAAAUUCGUAGAUAUUCGGAGGAACACCAGUGGCAAGGCGGCUCACUGGACCAUUACUGACGCUGAGGUGCGAAAGCGUGGGGAGCAAACAGGAUUAGAUACCCCUGUAGUCCCUGUCUCUUAUACA
rnacentral:rRNA from 1 species